rnacentral:pre_miRNA from 1 species
GCUUUUUUACUGUUGCACUCCUGUUGGAUGACGAUGAGCAGUGCAACAUAUAAAAGGGCAC